UCCCAUUGUCGCUUCAAAGAAUCUUAAU
rnacentral:sRNA from 1 species